ensembl:misc_RNA 7SK 7SK RNA
GGCUGUGAGAGUGAUGUGGCUGGGAUGUUUGUCAUCCCAUUGCUCAUGAGGUCUGAUGAGGCUGAUCCGCCUAGCUGGCAUCUCUUCCCUCCUCACACCUCAAUGCACAUUCCUCCCAUAUCUGGGCUCAUAGCAGUGAAUGUGGCCUUUCUGCCCAGAGGAGUUCUAUCAUUUGGUCAAGGUAGGGAGGUGAUUGUGUUUCUCUGUUUAAGACUCAGCAAAAGACAAAAUGCAGAAAGCCUGAAGGUGGGAGCUAAUCUUGCUGGCUGUCACCAGGUCCUGUACAACCUUAUGGUUAUGUCAUGAUUGAUACA